UAGGGAAUCUUCCGCAAUGGACGAAAGUCUGACGGAGCAACGCCGCGUGAGUGAAGAAGGAUUUCGGUUCGUAAAACUCUGUUGUUAGGGAAGAAAAAAUGUAUAGUAACUAUAUACAAAAGAGACGGUACCUAACCAGAAAGCCACGGCUAACUACGUGCCAGCAGCCGCGGUAAUACGUAGGUGGCAAGCGUUGUCCGGAAUUAUUGGGCGUAAAGCGCGCGCAGGUGGUUUAGAAAGUCUGAUGUGAAAGCCCACGGCUCAACCGUGGAGGGUCAUUGGAAACUAAUAAACUUGAGUGCAGGAGAGAAAAGUGGAAUUCCUAGUGUAGCGAGGAAAUGCGUAGAGAUUAGGAGGAACACCGGUGGCGAAAGCGGCUUUUUGGCCUGCAACUGACACUGAGGCGCGAAAGCGUGGGGAGCAAACAGG
rnacentral:rRNA from 1 species